rnacentral:tRNA from 1 species
CGGAGUGUAGCUCAGUGGUUAGGGAACUAGACUUGUAACCGAAAGGUCGCAGGUUCGAUUCCAGGUGCUGGGU